ACACACGGAUAACAUACCGAAAGGUAUGCUAAUACGGGAUAAUAUAUUUGAGAGGCAUCUCUUAAAUAUCAAAGGUGAGCCAGUACAGGAUGGACCCGCGUCUGAUUAGCUAGUUGGUAAGGUAACGGCUUACCAAGGCGACGAUCAGUAGCCGACCUGAGAGGGUGAUCGGCCACAUUGGAACUGAGACACGGUCCAAACUCCUACGGGAGGCAGCAGUGGGGAAUAUUGCACAAUGGGCGAAAGCCUGAUGCAGCAACGCCGCGUGAGUGAUGAAGGCCUUCGGGUCGUAAAACUCUGUCCUCAAGGAAGAUAAUGACGGUACUUGAGGAGGAAGCCCCGGCUAACUACGUGCCAGCAGCCGCGGUGAUACGUAGGGGGCUAGCGUUAUCCGGAUUUACUGGGCGUAAAGGGUGCGUAGGCGGUCUUUCAAGUCAGGAGUGAAAGGCUACGGCUCAACCGUAGUAAGCUCUUGAAACUGGGAGACUUGAGUGCAGGAGAGGAGAGUGGAAUUCCUAGUGUAGCGGUGAAAUGCGUAGAUAUUAGGAGGAACACCAGUUGCGAAGGCGGCUCUCUGGACUGUAACUGACGCUGAGGCACGAAAGCGUGGGGAGCAAACAGGAUUAGAUACCCUGGUAGUCCACGCUGUAAACGAUGAGUACUAGGUGUCGGGGGUUACCCCCUUCGGUGCCGCAGCUA
rnacentral:rRNA from 1 species